rnacentral:rRNA from 1 species
UAAUACGUAGGGUGCGAGCGUUAAUCGGAAUUACUGGGCGUAAAGCGUGCGCAGGCGGUUCGUUGUGUCUGUGGUGAAAGCCCCGGGCUUAACCUGGGAAUGGCCAUGGAAACUGGCGAGCUGGAGUCUGGCAGAGGGGGGUGGAAUUCCGCGUGUAGCAGUGAAAUGCGUAGAGAUGCGGAGGAACACCGAUGGCGAAGGCAGCCCCCUGGGUCAAGACUGACGCUCAGGCACGAAAGCGUGGGGAGCAAACAGGAUUAGAUACCCUGGUAGUCCACGCCCUAAACGAUGGCAACUGGGUGUUGGGGGAGCGAUCUCCUGGUACCGUAGCUAACGCGUGAAGUUGCCCGCCUGGGGAGUACGGCCGCAAGGUUA